rnacentral:rRNA from 1 species
UCUACGGGAGGCAGCAGUGAGGAAUAUUGGUCAAUGGACGCAAGUCUGAACCAGCCAUGCCGCGUGCAGGAAGACGGCUCUAUGAGUUGUAAACUGCUUUUGUACGAGGGUAAACGCGGAUACGCGUAUCUGUCUGAAAGUAUCGUACGAAUAAGGAUCGGCUAACUCCGUGCCAGCAGCCGCGGUAAUACGGAGGAUUCAAGCGUUAUCCGGAUUUAUUGGGUUUAAAGGGUGCGUAGGCGGUCGGAUAAGUUAGAGGCGAAAUCCCGAGGCUCAACUUCGGAAUUGCCUCUGAUACUGUUCGGCUAGAGAGUAGUUGCGGUAGGCGGAAUGUAUGGUGUAGCGGUGAAAUGCUUAGAGAUCAUACAGAACACCGAUUGCGAAGGCAGCUUACCAAGCUACGUCUGACGUUGAGGCACGAAAGCGUGGGGAGCAAACAGGAUUAUAUACCCGAGUAGUC